AACGUAGGUGGCGAGCGUUAUCCGGAUUUACUGGGCGUAAAGGGUGUGCAGGCGGGCGACCAAGUGGUGUAUGAAAUCUCCCAGCUAAACUGGGAUAGGUUAUGCCAGACUGGUGGUCUAGAGUGCGAGAGAGGGGCGUGGAAUUCCGGGUGUAGUGGUGAAAUGCGUUGAUAUCAUCUGGAACACCGGUGGCGAAAGCGGCCCACUGGGUCUUUUCUGACGCUGAGGAACGAAAGCUAGGGUAGCGAACGGG
rnacentral:rRNA from 1 species